CGGUGCCAAAGGGCAGCAGGUGCAACCUGUUAACCGCUCAUCAGGAGGUGCUGCACUCCACUGCCUGAGUGUUUUGCCAAUGUGGUAACUCCUUACUGGCUAAGCUACUGACUUUCUCUAUCUCCUGAAAGUGUAGGGUCUGACGUCUCGUUGUGCUCCUUCCAAGGUUAAUUGCUAGCCCUGGCUCCAAUUCCUGUGAACGUACCUAACCAAGUACAAAGAAACCCGAAAACCUUCCAGAUCAAGAACCAGCUGACUGCCCCGAGUUCUCUCUUGCGAAUCUUUCCCACCCUUGAACAAUCUCUCUGGCACCAGCACCUAGGCUCUCUCUCAAGGUGAAGCAUCUAGUGGAUUGGAUUCUGAACAACUUCAAAACUCUCUCCCCUAUUUUGGCUGCUUACCUUGGAGCUCACUCUGGACCAAGCAGCAGCACCUACCUCUCUCUCCAGGCUCUGAAUAAUCCCCUUCUCGAGCUGGACUCCUCUCCACCAUCCAGUGAUGACUCCUGUUCCAAUACCAGAUCCAUUUACCAUCUUCAAAAUAAACUUGUUAAACUUU